GAUGAACGCUGGCGGCGUGCCUAAUACAUGCAAGUCGAGCGAACAGACGAGGAGCUUGCUCCUCUGACGUUAGCGGCGGACGGGUGAGUAACACGUGUAUAACCUACCUAUAAGACUGGUAUAACUUCGGGAAACCGGAGCUAAUACCGGAUAAUAUAUUGAACCGCAGGGUGCAAUAGUGAAAGACGGCUGUGCUGGCACGUAUAGAUGGAUCCGCGCCUCAUUAGCUAGUUGGGACGGUAACGGCUUAUCAAGGCAACGAUGCGUAGGCGACCUGAGAGGGUGAUAGGCCACACUGGAACUGAGACACGGUCCAGACUCCUACGGGAGGCAGCAGUAGGGAAUCUUCCGCAAUGGGCGAAAGCCUGACGGAGCAACGCCGAGUGAGUGACGAAGGUCUUCGGAUCGUAAAACUCGGUUAUUAGGGAAGAACAAAUGUGUAAGUAAAUAUGCACGUAUUGACGGUAACUAAUCAGAAAGCAACGGCUAACUACGUG
rnacentral:rRNA from 1 species